GCGCGCCCGCUCACAGGCCAGGGAGGGACAGAGAGAGGGGAAGAGAGAGAGAGAGAGAGAGCGGGAGAGGGAGGGAGGGAGGGAGGGAUGGAGAGGGAGAACGAACCUUAAGCACAGUCCGCACAAAGCACAGAGCCCAAUGUAGGGCUUGAUCCCACAACCCUAGGAUCACAACCUGAGCCGAAUUCAAGAGUUGGACACUCAACCGACUGAGCCACCCAGGCAUCCCUAGGAUAACUCUUAACUCACCUAUAAAUCAGAGCACCUUGCAGAAGCUCUGACUGUACACCUCAUUGCUUCCAAGUCCCCAUAUGUAGUUCUGUGAGUCAGAGCCAAGUGCAGUUGAGGUUCCAGUGCUGGUGUUGUGGUUUGUUUGCUUAGAGUUGCCACAGAUCAAGGCACUUUCCAGAAGCUUAUGAAUAAUGAGAAUUGCAAGUUCUAAGUCUAUGGCAUUUAUUGACCAACAAGUGUAUUCCCUGCUAAAGUUAGGCUUGGAGUUUGGUGUGGCUUUUUUGUUCCUGGGUUUUUUGUUUGGUGUUUUGGUAGGAAUUAAAGAAAAAAGAAAAACAGAAAGAGUAUCGUGAAAAACAAAAGGAGAAGAAAAGAAGCAAAAGGCUUACGAAGCAGGCCAGAAAGGCCUCGUCGGCCCCGAAGAAAGAGGAGGCGGGCCCUGGGACUGGCGGUGCUCCGGUGAAGGGCCCCGCACCCCCGAAGGAGGCCCGAGCUUGUGGGAAGAAAGAGAGCACUCAGGUAAAAGCCCAGAAUAAAGUGCAGGACGAAUCCGAAGAGGAGCUUCCUCAACUGGUACCAAUAGAGAGGACUCCAGCGAAAGAAAACGGAGAGAUGCAAAAACAAGCCGCAGGAAAGAAGUCUCCAAAGAAGAGUCCCAAUCCCAGCGCACCUCGUGGGAAGAAGAGAAAGGCCCUUCCCAGUUUCGAGACCCCGACGGCUGCGGAGCCCAAGACCCCAGGUAGCAGCCCGGGCAAGAAGCCAAGAAUCAAAGAAGAGGCGGGAAAAGAACCAGACUCUUCACUGGGCAAAAAAGACCCAAGACAGGUGACCAAAAAGCCAGGGGCCAAGUUCUUCACUACUCCCAGUAAGUCUGCGAAAAAAGCCCCCCACGCCCCCAAACAGUGGCCCAAAAAGUCCAGAGUGCCCCAGUCGACCUAAAAAUCAGAGACUCAAGCAGAAGGAAUCCUCCAGACUCCCUAAAGAGCUUUUUAAAAAAUGCCUGGAUCCCGCCCCUGCCCGGCGCAGUCUCCUCGAGGAGUGAGGCCCAGACUUAAAUACUUGUUAAAACCUCCGCAAGCAAUUCUGACGGAUGUUGGUGGGCGUGGGAAAGAGUUGUGAAGGAGACCCAUUUUUUAAGUUGCUUUUCCAUGUAUUUGCUAAUGUAACAGAGGGAAAAUACAGUGCUUCUGUGUGGUUGCUUGUUAUUAAAGUGUAACGGCUUCUGAGUAAACUCUUGGUGCUCCCUA